rnacentral:tRNA from 1 species
GCAGGAGUGCUGGAAUUGGCAGACAGGCUAGAUUGAGGGUCUAGUGUCCGAAAGGUCGUGUGGGUUCAAGUCCCAUCUCCUGCACCA